rnacentral:rRNA from 1 species
AGAGUUUGAUCCUGGCUCAGGAUGAACGCUAGCGACAGGCUUAACACAUGCAAGUCGAGGGGCAGCGCGAUGGUAGCAAUACCGUUGGCGGCGACCGGCGCACGGGUGCGUAACAGGUGUGCAAUCUGUCCAUAAUCGGGGAAUAGCCCAGCGAAAGUUGGAUUAAUGCUCCAUGUGCUGCGGGAGGGCAUCCUCCUGUAGUGAAACGUAAGGAUUAUGGGUGAGCACGCUUCUGAUUAGGUAGUUGGUGAGGUAACGGCUCACCAAGCCGACGAUCAGUAGCCGACCUGAGAGGGUGAUCGGCCACAUUGGAACUGAGACACGGUCCAAACUCCUACGGGAGGCAGCAGUGGGGAAUAUUGCACAAUGGGCGCAAGCCUGAUGCAGCAACGCCGCGUGAACGAAGAAGGCUCUUGGGUCGUAAAGUUCUGUUCUGAGGGAAGAAAACAAUGACGGUACCUCAGGAGAAAGCCCCGGCUAACUACGUGCCAGCAACCGCGGUAAUACGUAGGGGGCACGCGUUGUCCGGAAUUACUGGGCGUAAAGAGUACGUAGGCGGUUUUGUAAGCGUAUGGUGAAAGGCAUCGGCUCAACCGGUGUCAGCCGUGCGAACUGCGAGACUUGAGUGCGGGAGAGGAAAGCGGAAUUCCUGGUGUAGCGGUGAAAUGCGUAGAUAUCAGGAGGAACACCGGUGGCGAAGGCGGCUUUCUGGACCGUAACUGACGCUGAGGUACGAAAGCGUGGGGAGCAAACAGGAUUAGAUACCCUGGUAGUCCACACUGUAAACGAUGAAUACUAGGUGUGGGGGGACUGACCCCCUCCGUGCCGCAGUUAACACAAUAAGUAUUCCACCUGGGGAGUACGACCGCAAGGUUGAAACUCAAAGGAAUUGACGG